rnacentral:lncRNA from 1 species
AAUCUAAAGGUCUAAGAGGAUGGUACAUGUGAGAAGCUGUGAAUCCACAACAAAAAUCUAAACUAACUUCCAAACAAACAUUUCAAGUUUGGAAGCCACAAAGAAGCAGCCCAGAUCUCUCGUUGUAGUGCAGGUUCAAGAAAAUGGGCUGAAUUACCAUCAUAGCAACAUGUAGAAGCAGCAAAAAUAUAGGCUUGGUGUGUAACUGAUCAUGAAAGAUAGCUUGGUCAGUUUCUCCAUUGUUGGCUUAUACUGAGCAAGAACAUCAGCCUGCAGAGAAGAAAAAUGGAGGACUGCUUUAUUCUGCGGUACAUCCACAAUAGUACAGCAAAUAAAGUAGUUAAAUGUGCGCUAAGAUGUAAGACCUUUUAGAUCACUAUUUUAGUGAUCUAAAAGGUAAGUAGUGAUCUAAAAGGUCUUGUAUUAGUUUGAAGAGGGAGCACUUAAUAAGACUGUAAGCCAGUACAUCAAAGUAAUGCCGGCUUCCCAUUGAUUUGAUCAAACCAAUAUGACAAAGGGAAGGUGAAACUUCAGAAAACCAUAUAAAUUGACCACGAUGUCUUAAUUUAAAAC